CUAACCUGCCCAAUGAAAUUUAAAUGGCCGCAGUAUUUUGACUGUGCAAAGGCAGCAUAACCAUUAGUUUUUUAAUUAAAAACUUGUAUGAAGGGUUGGACGAGAUAAGAUCUGUCUUUAUUUAAUUUUAAUUAGAAUUUAAUUUUUAAGUCAAAAGGCUUAAAUAUUUAUAAAAGACGAGAAGACCCUAUAGAUCUUUAUUUAAUUGAUAUUUUAAUAAUUUAAGAUUUAGUUAGUUUAAAGUUUUAAUUGAAUUUUAUUGGGGUAAUAUAAAGAUUUACAUAAUUCUUUUUAUUAAAACCAUUGAUUUAUGAAUAAAUGAUCCAUUAUUAAUGAUUAUAAGACUAAGUUACCUUAGGGAUAACAGCGUAAUUUUUUUAGAGAGCUCCUAUCGAUAAAAAAGUUUGCGACCUCGAUGUUGGAUUAAAAAUUAUCUUGGGUGCAGAAGUUCAAGAUUUUGGUCUGUUC
rnacentral:rRNA from 1 species